rnacentral:pre_miRNA from 1 species
GUGAUUGCCAGGCGGGUCCUCUCUACUAGUGCUGUGCAGAGGCUUUCACUGAGGCUCCUGUGAGCCUGUAGAGUUUCCCCUUGGGCUGUGGAGACAG